CUUGGGGCCUGAGGACUCAGCAUUGGGACAUCUCCAACAUGGCCUGGGAUGAGCUCCUCUUCACCAUCAUCACUCUCUUCACAGGGUCCCUCGCCCAGCCUACGCUGACUCAGCUGCCCUCUGCAUCUGCCUCCCUGGGACAGACAGCCAAACUCACCUGCAUCCUCAGCAGUGGUUACAGUAAUUAUCAAGUGAACUGGUACCAGCAGAGCCAGGAGAAAAGCCCUCGAUUUGUGCUGCGAGUGGGUACCAGUGGUAUUGUGGGAUCCAAGGGCGAUGGAAUCCCUGAUCGAUUCUCAGGAUCAGGCUCUGGCUUGGAUCGGUACUUGACCAUCCAGAACGUCCAGGAAGAAGAUGAGACUGUCUACUACUGUGGUGUAAACCAUGGCAGUGGGAGUAGCUUUGUGUAA